rnacentral:rRNA from 1 species
GACGAACGCUGGCGGCGUGCUUAACACAUGCAAGUCGAACGGAAAGGCCCUGCUUUUGUGGGGUGCUCGAGUGGCGAACGGGUGAGUAACACGUGAGUAACCUGCCCUUGACUUUGGGAUAACUUCAGGAAACUGGGGCGCAUACCGGAUAGGAGCUCCUGCUGCAUGUUGGGGGUUGGAAAGUUUCGGCGGUUGGGGAUGGUCUCGAUGCUUAUCCGCUUGUUGGUGAGGUAGUGGCUGACCAAGGCUUUGACGGGUAGCCCGCCUGAGAGGGUGACCGGGCACAUUGGGACUGAGAUACGGCCCAGACGCCUACGGGAGGCAGCAGGGGGGAAUAUUGCACAAUGGGCGGAAGCCUGAUGCAGCAACGCCGCGUGCGGGAUGACGGCCUUCGGGUUGUAAACCGAUUUCGCAUGUGACGAAGCGUGAGUGGCGGUAAUGGGUCAAGAAGCAACGGCUAACUACGUG